rnacentral:rRNA from 1 species
UACGGAGGGUGCAAGCGUUAUCCGGAUUCACUGGGUUUAAAGGGUGCGUAGGCGGGCAGGUAAGUCCGUGGUGAAAUCUCUGAGCUUAACUCAGAAACUGCCAUGGAUACUAUUUGUCUUGAAUAUUGUGGAGGUAAGCGGAAUAUGUCAUGUAGCGGUGAAAUGCUUAGAUAUGACAUAGAACACCAAUUGCGAAGGCAGCUUACUACACAGUUAUUGACGCUGAGGCACGAAAGCGUGGGGAUAAACAGG